UGGCUUGAGACAUUUCAGGGGUGUGUUUGGGGAAAAGGGCAGGUCAAUUCUUGCCCUGGUGAGGCAAUGCACUGCUCGAUACAGCACCCCCCCACCCUUGAACUGUAUCCAAGCCCUGCAGUGACCACCAGUCCCUGGCAUGCUGGAGGCAAUUCUUCACACCUCACCUCUGAAGUCCCUAACCCAGCUCCUGAGUGGCCAAAUCACCAAAAGUCUCACCUUGGGCAAGGGGCCAGGAAACUCCAAGGGUAUUAAGCCAGAGCACAAGAAAACUGGAGAAUACUAUGCUUUUCUGAUGUCUCAAAAGGCUUUUGCUAAAGCCCAAUGCUGAUGACAUCCAAUUCUACUCCUACAAGACCUUCAUGUAUCAGUGGUGAACAGGCAUUUGGCUCACUACAAGAUAACCAGCAAAAGGAAAGUAUAUCCAUGUCAUCCAAAGU